CUCAAUUUAAACUGGGGAAAAAAAUCCUUCAUCAUUAAGUUAAUACAUUAAUUCUAUUUAUGAGUGUUUUGUACAGUUAUCAAUGCCAAGAAAAUGCAAAGGGGGUGAUUUGAGCCGUGAUACUAGUAGAUCUCGAAAUAUGCGAAAUAGAAGAUACGAAAGAACCGAAGAACAAAUCCAGCAACAAAAUACUGAUGUACGUAUUAGAAUAGCGCAAUUGCAUCAAGAAGAGCCAGAAGAUACACGAGCUGAACGCAAUGAACUCAGAAGAUAAUAACAACGACAAUCACGCCGUUUCACAGUCAAUAGACGCAGAACAAAUGACCAACAACGACAACAGUAUGUGCCUGAUAUUGAGUAUUAUGCUCACUCAAAAGUGGUAAUUGGAGCUAUGGACAAGGAAUGUCCGCAUUGUCAUGCUCUGAAAUUCAAAAAUGAGCCAGCUAGGAUGUGUUGCGCGUCAGGAAAAGCGACGACAGCGAAGAAUUAUAUUUUCCCACAGAGUUUUUAAGCUUACUGGAUUUGCAACCUUUACCUUUACUGGAUUUUAAAGGUUGGAUCUGCAAUUAUCAUACCUCGUAAUUUGAACCCGCCCCGACUGUGCAACGGGACGCGAUUAGUCAUUCAAAAAUUAAUAAAUAACGUAAUCGAA